GACCCCAUCGUCCAGUGGUCAGGACCUCAGGUUUUCAUCCUGGUAACGGGGGUUCGAUUCCCCCUGGGGUCA
rnacentral:tRNA from 1 species